rnacentral:rRNA from 1 species
UGGGGAAUUUUGGACAAUGGGGGAAACCCUGAUCCAGCCAUCCCGCGUGUGCGAUGAAGGCCUUCGGGUUGUAAAGCACUUUUGGCAGGAAAGAAACGUCAUGGGUUAAUACCCCGUGAAACUGACGGUACCUGCAGAAUAAGCACCGGCUAACUACGUGCCAGCAGCCGCGGUAAUACGUAGGGUGCAAGCGUUAAUCGGAAUUGCUGGGCGUAAAGCGUGCGCAGGCGGUUCGGAAAGAAAGAUGUGAAAUCCCAGAGCUCAACUUUGGAACUGCAUUUUUAACUACCGGGCUAGAGUGUGUCAGAGGGAGGUGGAAUUCCGCGUGUAGCAGUGAAAUGCGUAGAUAUGCGGAGGAACACCGAUGGCGAAGGCAGCCUCCUGGGAUAACACUGACGCUCAUGCACGAAAGCGUGGGGAGCAAACAGG